UGCUUAGUAGCCUCUAAAUGAAAGCUA
rnacentral:piRNA from 1 species